AGUAAAGAAGGGAAAUUGGCAAAUAAUAAUAAGACAGUACACCUAUAACAGUCGAAGCCCGGUUAGUAAGAUGUCAUCUGCAAUAUCAGAACUCAUCAAAGCUUAUAAUAAUAAAACUUGAAACAAUAGGUACUUGAAUGACCAGUCAGCUGAAGUAAGGAUGAGUAUGCAAGAAGGACAUGUUGUUCAGCCUUUUCGUGAGAUUUUCAAUUAAGCAGAAUUCAGAAUGCAAACACCAUGGUGCGGUCUAGCUAUUUCAGAUUUGCUUACCCAAAAGAUGGCAUUCAUAGAAUCAGAUUGAGCAACUACAUUCAGCAGAUAAUUGAAGUGCUUUGCGAAAAGAGCUAGAGUUUCAGGUAAAAUCAUCUUGAAGGUUGAUUCCAUGCAUGAUGACUGAAUAAAAGGAUUGAUUGUCAGAGUUUUUUUUUUUCACUCUAAUCAUCACAUUAUCCUGUUACUUGGCAUUUUUAAGUAGAGAUGGAAAGGGCAAGUUCUUCAUGUUUCCCGGGAAGCAAAUCAGGUUGGAGAUUUGCCGUACUUAUGAGCUGCAUAAUGCCUUUUUGCAGAGAUUAAAUAAUGCGUUUCCGGAGAUUAAACACCUUAUGGACAGAGACCAUUAGAGGAGGCUAAUGCUUGGCAUGUGUUGAGUUUUUCCUUGUUUUAUUUUCCUUUGUUUUCCAUUUUGUGUUCCUUUUUUUUGUAGUAUAAUAAUAAUAAUAAUAAUUGUCCGGUAAGUCUGAAUUGAGGAA